UGACUGACUGAGUGCCAGCCGCCGCGGUAAUACGUAGGUGGCAAGCGUUGUCCGGAAUUAUUGGGCGUAAAGCGCGCGCAGGCGGUUCCUUAAGUCUGAUGUGAAAGCCCCCGGCUCAACCGGGGAGGGUCAUUGGAAACUGGGGAACUUGAGUGCAGAAGAGGAGAGCGGAAUUCCACGUGUAGCGGUGAAAUGCGUAGAGAUGUGGAGGAACACCAGUGGCGAAGGCGGCUCUCUGGUCUGUAACUGACGCUGAGGCGCGAAAGCGUGGGGAGCGAACAGGAUUAGAUACCCUGGUAGUCCACGCCGUAAACGAUGAGUGCUAAGUGUUAGAGGGUUUCCGCCCUUUAGUGCUGCAGCAAACGCAUUAAGCACUCCGCCUGGGGAGUACGGCCGCAAGGCUGAAACUCAAAGGAAUUGACGGGGGCCCGCACAAGCGGUGGAGCAUGUGGUUUAAUUCGAAGCAACGCGAAGAACCUUACCAGGUCUUGACAUCCUCUGACAACCCUAGAGAUAGGGCGUUCCCCUUCGGGGGACAGAGUGACAGGUGGUGCAUGGUUGUCGUCAGCUCGUGUCGUGAGAUGUUGGGUUAAGUCCCGCAACGAGCGCAACCCUUGAUCUUAGUUGCCAGCAUUAAGUUGGGCACUCUAAGGUGACUGCCGGUGACAAACCGGAGGAAGGUGGGGAUGACGUCAAAUCAUCAUGCCCCUUAUGACCUGGGCUACACACGUGCUACAAUGGAUGGAACAAAGGGCAGCGAAGCCGCGAGGUGAAGCCAAUCCCAUAAAACCAUUCUCAGUUCGGAUUGCAGGCUGCAACUCGCCUGCAUGAAGCCGGAAUCGCUAGUAAUCGCGGAUCAGCAUGCCGCGGUGAAUACGUUCCCGGGCCUUGUACACACCGCCCGUCACACCACGAGAGUUUGUAACACCCGAAGUCGGUGGGGUAACCUUUUGGAGCCAGCCGCCGAAGGUGGGACAGAUGAUUGGGGUGAAGUCGUAACAAGGUAACCUCAGUCAGUCA
rnacentral:rRNA from 2 species